CGACGUAAAGAACCUGCCUCAUAGACUGGGACAACUAUUGGAAACGAUAGCUAAUACCGGAUAACAGCAUUAACUGCAUGGUUGAUGUUUAAAAGUUGGUUUUGCUAACACUAUGAGAUGGCUUUGCGGUGCAUUAGCUAGUUGGUGGGGUAAAGGCCUACCAAGGCGACGAUGCAUAGCCGACCUGAGAGGGUGAUCGGCCACACUGGGACUGAGACACGGCCCAG
rnacentral:rRNA from 1 species